UACGAAGGGGGCUAGCGUUGUUCGGAAUUACUGGGCGUAAAGCGCGUGUAGGCGGGUCUUUAAGUCAGGGGUGAAAUGCCAGGGCUCAACCUUGGAACUGCCUUUGAUACUGGAGACCUUGAGUCCGGGAGAGGUGAGUGGAAUUGCGAGUGUAGAGGUGAAAUUCGUAGAUAUUCGCAAGAACACCAGUGGCGAAGCGGCUCACUGGCCCGGAACUGACGCUGAGACGCGAAAGCGUGGGGAGCAAACAGG
rnacentral:rRNA from 1 species